rnacentral:snRNA from 1 species
AGCUUUGCGCAGUGUCAGUAUCACAGCCAAUGAGGUUUAUCCGAGGCGCGAUUAUUGCUAAUUGAAAAUCCACAUAUAACUUUUGACUGCCCAAAAACUUAACUACUAAGAGCCUACUGUUGACCGAUAACAUAAACAGUCAAUUAACACAUAGUCUGUAUGUGGUAUGUAUUAAAUACUGUAUUCUAACAAUGCAG